GGCUAGUUUGAAACUUUGACUUUUUUUUUUACUGUACUUAAGAAAUAUAUUUUUAAUUAAAAUGCAGAAAUGCUAAGAAACGAUCUAUUUUUUUCAAAACAAAUAAUUUAAAAAAAUCAAAAGAAAAAAUCCGCUUUUAUCAUAUAACGUUGAAAUGUGAUUCGCAUUACCUACACUAACACGUCAAAUCGCGUAUAUUUUCGCAAUUGACAAUUAUUAUUAUAAUAUUGUUCGGGCUCAUCAUUAUUUAUAGCAAAUACAUUUUUGAUGCGUCCAAUAUACGAAAUUACAUUGCGUUUUCGAUUGAUGUACAGAAGACGACAAACCAAUAAACAGCGGUUAUUACUUAUUACAUCACGGUUCAUUUCAUUCGGAAAUUCACUGGUCGAAAAUUAAUAAAUAAUUUAUAACUUACUACUUUAUUGCUUACAUUUUCUCGUCCGUUUGUGUGUCAAUAAUUUUUCUACCGGAAAUCUUACCUCAAUCAAAACAAAUGAUAAGAUAACUUGUUCGUUUCAUUAUGGAUCUCUUCGGU